rnacentral:tRNA from 1 species
CGUUAGGAAGCUAUGAACCAGCACUAGCCUUUUAAGCUAGAGAUAGAGGGCCAAACCCCUCCCUAAUGA